ensembl:snRNA Gm22452 U6 spliceosomal RNA
UUGUUUAUUUUUAUAACACGUAUGCUAAAAUUGGCACAAUACAGAGAAGAUUAGUAUGGCUCCUGCCCAAAGACACACAAAUUUGUUCAGUAUUAUGUAUGUUU